UACGUAGGGUGCGAGCGUUGUCCGGAAUUAUUGGGCGUAAAGAGCUCGUAGGCGGUUUGUCGCGUCUGCUGUGAAAACUCAGGGCUUAACCCUGAGCCUGCAGUGGGUACGGGCAAGCUAGAAUUCGGUAGGGGAGACUGGAAUUCCUGGUGUAGCGGUGAAAUGCGCAGAUAUCAGGAGGAACACCGGUGGCGAAGGCGGGUCUCUGGGCCGAUAUUGACGCUGAGGAGCGAAAGCGUGGGGAGCGAACAGG
rnacentral:rRNA from 1 species